CGAGUCGGUCAGGCGACCGCGGCGAGAGGAACGGGCACGUAUGUGUCGCUGCCUGGCGCCGAGGAAAGUCCGGACUCCACAGAGCAGGGCGGUUGUUAACGGCAACCCGGGGUGACCCGCGGGACAGUGCCACAGAGAACAGACCGCCGGUGCCGGAUUCGCGUCCGGUGCCGGUAAGGGUGAAACGGUGCGGUAAGAGCGCACCAGCGCCCCGGGUGACCGGGGCGGCUCGGUAAACCCCGCCCGGAGCAAGGUCGAAGGUCGCAUUCCUCGCGAGUGCGGCUGCGCGGGUGUUCGAGGGCUGCUCGCCCGAGCCCGCGGGUGGACCGCUCGAGGUGCCCGGCAACGGUGCACCCAGAUGGAUGGUCGCCGCCCGGUAUGCACCGGGUACAGGAUCCGGCUUACAGACCGACUCGUCCU
rfam:Nocardia terpenica strain IFM 0406 genomic scaffold scaffold2, whole genome shotgun sequence.